UGGGCGUUGAGGCUUACACUCCUCAACACAAAACGGGCAUUGGGGAAGCCAAAGUGCAUCUAUUUUAGCACGUUGGUACAUCUUCAACUUGACCCAACUGAACAGUGGAUGAAGAAUCUUCCGCUUCAAAAGCGGAAGGAGAAUUUCAAUGAGCGGUUACAGUAUGAAAUUUCCAAAUUUGGAAAUCUUGACGUCAAUGAUGCUGAUUUGUGUUGAAAUCAUAGACAACAAGAUGCUGCCUAAGGAUGUUACUGAAGCUGACAAGUAUGAAGAUUGCCCUAGU